UACGUAGGGGGCAAGCGUUGUCCGGAUUUAUUGGGCGUAAAGAGCGUGUAGGCGGCCAGACAGGUCCGUUGUGAAAACUCGAGGCUCAACCUCGAGAUGUCGAUGGAAACCGUCUGGCUAGAGUCCGGAAGAGGAGUGUGGAAUUCCUGGUGUAGCGGUGAAAUGCGCAGAUAUCGGGAGGAACACCAGUGGCGAAGGCGACUUCCUGGCCUGUUCUUGACGCUGAGGCGCGAAAGCUAGGGGAGCAAACGGG
rnacentral:rRNA from 1 species